GGCCUUUAUCCUAGCCGACUUGAAAGGUUAUCGGCCCCAAUGGGACUGAGACCCGGCCCAAAUUCCUACGGGAGGCAGCAGUAGGGAAUCUUCCACAAUGGACGCAAGUCUGAUGGAGCAACCCCGCGUGAGUGAAGAAGGGUUUCGGCUCGUAAAGCUCUGUUGUUAAAGAAGAACGUGGAUGAGAGUAACUGUUCAUCCGUUGACGGUAUUUAACCAGAAAGUCACGGCUAACUACGUGCCAGCAGCCGCGGUAAUACGUAGGUGGCAAGCGUUAUCCGGAUUUAUUGGGCGUAAAGAGAGUGCAGGCGGUUUUCUAAGUCUGAUGUGAAAGCCUUCGGCUCAACCGGAGAAGUGCAUCGGAAACUGGAUGACUUGAGUGCAGAAGAGGGCAGUGGAACUCCAUGUGUAGCGGUGGAAUGCGUAGAUAUAUGGAAGAACACCAGUGGCGAAGGCGGCUGUCUGGUCUGCAACUGACGCUGAGACUCGAAAGCAUGGGUAGCGAACAGGAUUAGAUACCCUGGUAGUCCAUGCCGUAAACGAUGAGUGCUAAGUGUUGGAGGGUUUCCGCCCUUCAGUGCUGCAGCUAACGCAUUAAGCACUCCGCCUGGGGAGUACGACCGCAAGGUUGAAACUCAAAGGAAUUGACGGGGGCCCGCACAAGCGGUGGAGCAUGUGGUUUAAUUCGAAGCUACGCGAAGAACCUUACCAGGUCUUGACAUCUUGCGCCAGUCUUAGAGAUAAGACGUUUCCUUCGGGAACACAAUGACAGGUGGUGCAUGGUCGUCGUCAGCUCGUGUCGUGAGAUGUUGGGUUAAGUCCCGCAACGAGCGCAACCCUUGUUACUAGUUGCCAGCAUUAAGUUGGGCACUCUAGUGAGACUGCCGGUGACAAACCGGAGGAAGGUGGGGACGACGUCAGAUCAUCAUGCCCCUUAUGACCUGGGCUACACACGUGCUACAAUGGACGGUACAACGAGUCGCGAACUCGCGAGGGCAAGCUAAUCUCUUAAAACCGUUCUCAGUUCGGACUGCAGGCUGCAACUCGCCUGCACGAAGUCGGAAUCGCUAGUAAUCGCGGAUCAGCAUGCCGCGGUGAAUACGUUCCCGGGCCUUGUACACACCGCCCGUCACACCAUGAGAGUUUGUAACACCCAAAGUGCGGUGGGGUAACCUAUGUCGUGCCAACCUUGCCCGAAGAGUUUAUCGCC
rnacentral:rRNA from 1 species